rnacentral:rRNA from 1 species
AGUGAACGCUGGCGGCAGGCCUAACACAUGCAAGUCGAGCGGCAGCGCGGGGGCAACCCUGGCGGCGAGCGGCGGACGGGUGAGGAAUUCGUCGGAAUCUGCCUUUUUGUGGGGGAUAACGUAGGGAAACUUACGCUAAUACCGCAUACGUCCUACGGGAGAAAGUGGGGGACCGCAAGGCCUCACGCAGAAAGAUGAGCCGACGACCGAUUAGCUAGUUGGUGGGGUAAAGGCCUACCAAGGCGACGAUCGGUAGCUGGUCUGAGAGGAUGAUCAGCCACACUGGGACUGAGACACGGCCCAGACUCCUACGGGAGGCAGCAGUGGGGAAUAUUGGACAAUGGGCGCAAGCCUGAUCCAGCCAUGCCGCGUGUGUGAAGAAGGCCUUCGGGUUGUAAAGCACUGUUGUCCGGAAAGAAAUCCCUGGAGCUAAUACCUGCGGGGGAUGACGGUACCGGAAGAAUAAGCACCGGCUAACUUCGUG